rnacentral:rRNA from 1 species
CCCUUAGAUGUUCUGGGCCGCACGCGCGCUACACUGAUGCGUUCAACGAGUAUACAACCUUGAUCGAUAGGUCUGGGUAAUCUUUUGAAUGCGCAUCGUGCUAGGGAUAGACUGUUGCAAUUUUCAGUCUUGAACGAGGAAUUCCUAGUAAACGCAAGUCAUCAGCUUGCAUUGAUUACGUCCCUGCCCUUUGUACACACCGCCCGUCGCACCUACCGAUUGAAGAGUUAGGUGAAUUGUUUUGAUCGAUAAGAUUUGACUAUGGUCAACUCUCGUUGUGAAAUUCUGUGAAUCUGACUGUUUAGAGGAAGGAAAAGUCGUAACA